AGCGAACGCUGGCGGCAGGCCUAACACAUGCAAGUCGAACGGAUCCUUCGGGAUUAGUGGCGAAUGGGUGAGUAACACGUGGGCAACCUGCCCCUCGCAGGGGGACAACCGGAGGAAACUCCGGCUAAUACCCCGUACGCUUCUCGGGCCGCAUGGUCUGUGAAGGAAAGGUAGCUUCGGCCAUCCGGCGAGGGAUGGGCCCGCGUUGCAUUAGCUAGUUGGUGGGGUAACGGCCCACCAAGGCGACGAUGCGUAGCUGGUCUGAGAGGAUGAUCAGCCACACUGGGACUGAGACACGGCCCAGACUCCUACGGGAGGCAGCAGCCAGGAAUCUUGGGCAAUGGGCGCAAGCCUGACCCAGCAACACCGUGUGGGCGACGAAGGUCUUAGGAUCGUAAAGCCCUGUUGAUAGGGACGAAGGGCGAAGGGUUAAUAGCCCCUAGCUUGACGGUACCUUUCGAGGAAGCCCCGGCUAACUACGUGCCAGCCGCCGCCGUAAUAC
rnacentral:rRNA from 1 species